rnacentral:rRNA from 1 species
GAUGAACGCUGGCGGCGUGCCUAAUACAUGCAAGUCGAGCGAACGGACGAGAAGCUUGCUUCUCUGAUGUUAGCGGCGGACGGGUGAGUAACACGUGGAUAACCUACCUAUAAGACUGGGAUAACUUCGGGAAACCGGAGCUAAUACCGGAUGAUAUUUUGAACCGCAUGGUUCAAAAGUGAAAGACGGUCUUGCUGUCACUUAUAGAUGGAUCCGCGCUGCAUUAGCUAGUUGGUAAGGUAACGGCUUACCAAGGCAACGAUGCAUAGCCGACCUGAGAGGGUGAUCGGCCACACUGGAACUGAGACACGGUCCGGACUCCUACGGGAGGCAGCAGUAUGGAAUCUUCCGCAAUGGGCGAAAGCCUGACGGAGCAACGCCGCGUGAGUGAUGAAGGUCUUCGGAUCGUAAAACUCUGUUAUUAGGGAAGAACAUAUGUGUAAGUAACUGUGCACAUCUUGACGGUACCUAAUCAGAAAGCCACGGCUAACUACGUG